GAGAUUAGUCUGCUCAAAGAUAACAGGUGGGAGAUCGCCCCAUUCCCAAAUUCGGGUCAGAAGCCACCAAUGGGGAGAUGAGAACAGAGGAAAGCAGUUGUCGCCCCUGGAAUAGCUGUAAUAGACAUAGGAUGGACAGAGAGAGCUAUAGAUAGAAAGAAUGCAUUUCUCCGGGAGGCCAGCAGCAUUCCUAGCACUUACGAUGCCUAAGAAGAUUUUAUGCCUGAGGAAAAAGGAAAAUCCAUCUUUCAGAGUUUUUCAAGAACACCUAAUGGUCAUGAGAAAAUGGACAAAAGGUUGGGAUUAAGUUAACCAGGUGGUGCCUGCAACUCAGAGCCGUCUCACUUGAACACCAAUGAACUGGUCAUUGUUCAGGGGUGAGCACCACCAGAAGUACAUCCUGCUCAUGGUUAAGCUACUCAUGUCCGAUAAUGAUAAUUUCCCAAUCAUUUCUUCUUGGCUUCAUCAGGGUCUAAAUCCACCCCUGCCAAUGCUUCUUGGCCUUCCUUGAAUUCCUACUUUCACUGCAGACCCUUCUGAGUAUCUGACCAGUUCUUUACCUGGUUCAAGGCCCAAGACAUCCACUUCAUAAACUUUGGCUGGAAUCACUUCACCUCUGCUAUGGUGGAUCCAUGAAAUGUGCACUGGAGAUGAAAAUCAGAUCCUGUCUGAAACUAACCUCCUUAAUUUACCCUUUUAAUUAUGCUGAUACCCCUCUUUUUGGACCUACCUACACACCCUAGCAUAACACUUUACAUCCAGAAUUUAGAACAAAGAGCACACAGACACACACACACACACACACACACACACACACACAAGACCUCCAUGUAUCCAAUAAACUGUCCUGACUGUGUGUUGAUCACUGUUUUAUACAUUGAGGAUACAGUAAUGAAUAAAAAAAGACAAAAAAUUCUUGCCCUCAUGGGGCAAGU